rnacentral:lncRNA from 1 species
CUCUGAUACCACUAAAUGUAACACUCCUAACCUGUCUUCGUUGUCAGAUUCAAGUUACGAGAUAUUAUGGUAGUUAACAAGACUUAUAAUACAAUGACACAAUUCAAAGAUUAAUUUAAACAUCAUAAAUUAAUAAAUAAUCAUCAUAUGUAGCAUAAAUUCGAAACAAGACAUAAAUUGAGCGUACGGUACCUUAAAAUCAAUUUAGAAACAAGUAUGGACUAAUUUGAAACAAAACAAAAAAUAUGGUAAAAACUGAAAACAUGAGUCACAUGGCCGUGUCGCCAAGCCGUGUAACUCUCUAAGAUCGUGUGGACAAAC